rnacentral:rRNA from 1 species
GACGAACGCUGGCGGCGUGCUUAACACAUGCAAGUCGAACGGAGUGGCGAACGGGUGAGUAACACGUGGGUGACCUGCCCUGCACUUCGGGAUAAGCCUGGGAAACUGGGUCUAAUACCGGAUAGUGUGGGAUGGGCCCGCGGCCUAUUAGCUUGUUGGUGGGGUAAUGGCCUACCAAGGCGGCGACGGGUAGCCGGCCUGGGAGGGUGGACGGCCACAUAUGGACUGAGACACGGCCCUUACUCCUACGGGGGGAAGCGGUGGGGAAUAUUGGACGAUGGACCAAAUUCUGAUCCAGCAAUGCGGUGUGCACAAUGAAGUGUGUCGGGUUGUAAAGUGCUUUCAGUUGGGAAGCGGUACCAACAGAAGAAGAGACGGAGAUGUACGUGCCAGCAGCAGCGGUAAUUC